AUUGAACGCUGGCGGCAGGCCUAACACAUGCAAGUCGAGCGGAUGAGAAGAGCUUGCUCUUCGAUUCAGCGGCGGACGGGUGAGUAAUGCCUAGGGAUCUGCCUGGUAGUGGGGGACAACGUUUCGAAAGGAACGCUAAUACCGCAUACGUCCUACGGGAGAAAGCAGGGGACCUUCGGGCCUUGCGCUAUCAGAUGAGCCUAGGUCGGAUUAGCUAGUUGGUGAGGUAAUGGCUCACCAAGGCUACGAUCCGUAACUGGUCUGAGAGGAUGAUCAGUCACACUGGAACUGAGACACGGUCCAGACUCCUACGGGAGGCAGCAGUGGGGAAUAUUGGACAAUGGGCGAAAGCCUGAUCCAGCCAUGCCGCGUGUGUGAAGAAGGUCUUCGGAUUGUAAAGCACUUUAAGUUGGGAGGAAGGGCAGUAAGCUAAUACCUUGCUGUUUUGACGUUACCGACAGAAUAAGCACCGGCUAACUCUGUGCCAGCCGCCGCCGUAAUAC
rnacentral:rRNA from 1 species